rnacentral:antisense_RNA from 1 species
ACGCGGUAGGGCAUCGGCUCGGACCGGGUCCAGCUGUCGAGGUCGAAGAACUGGCCGUCGCCUAUGACUUCGAGCAGCGCCUCCUCGCCGUACCGGCCGGUCAUGCGCUUCUCGGCCCGGCCGCGCACGAUCACCCACAGCCGGUCGGCCGGGUCGCCGCUCUGCACCAGGACCUGCCCGGACUCGAAGGAGACCUCGGUGAAGGCGCCGGCCAGCUCGGUCAGGAGCGCGUCGUCGGCGUCCCGCAGAUACGGCACCUCCCGCAGAUCGCCGGGGACGAUGCGGUGGGUGCCGUCGUUGUCCGCGUACGUGGUGAUGCGGUCGUCGCCGAGGACGAAGGUGCGGCGGCGGUUGACGCGGUACACCCCGGACUCGACGUCCACCCAGGGCAGCGCCCGUAAGAGAUAGCGCGGGGUGAUGCCGCGCAUCUGCGGCGUGGUCUUGGUGGCGGUCGCGAGUUGCCGUGCCGCAUCCGGGCUGAGGGACAUCCGGUCGUUCACC